rnacentral:rRNA from 1 species
GACAGAGGGUGCAAGCGUUAAUCGGAAUGACUGGGCGUAAAGGGCGUGUAGGUGGUAAUCUAAGUUUGAUGUGAAAGCCCUCGGCUCAACCGGGGAACUGCGUCUGAUACUGGGUGGCUUGAAUUCGGGAGAGGGAUGCGGAAUUCCAGGUGUAGCGGUGAAAUGCGUAGAUAUCGGGAGGAACACCUGUGGCGAAAGCGGCGCACUGGACCAUAACUGACGCUGAGGCGCGAAAAGCUAGGGGGAGCAAACAGG